UGCCUUGUGGUGUAACGGUAGCAUACCUGACUCUGAAUCAGUAGAUCGAGGUUCGAAUCCUCGUGAGGCAG
rnacentral:tRNA from 1 species